ACGCACGCUGGCGGCGUGCUUAACACCUGCAAGUCGAACGGAAAGGCCCUGCUUUUGUGGGGUGCUCGAGUGGCGAGCGGGUGAGUAACACGUGAGUAACCUGCCCUUGACUUUGGGAUAACUUCAGGAAACUGGGGCUAAUACCGGAUAGGAGCUCCUGCUGCAUGGUGGGGGUUGGAAAGUUUCGGCGGUUGGGGAUGGACUCGCGGCUUAUCAGCUUGUUGGUGGGGUAGUGGCUUACCAAGGCUUUGACGGGUAGCCGGCCUGAGAGGGUGACCGGCCACAUUGGGACUGAGAUACGGCCCAGACUCCUACGGGAGGCAGCAGUGGGGAAUAUUGCACAAUGGGCGGAAGCCUGAUGCAGCAACGCCGCGUGCGGGAUGACGGCCUUCGGGUUGUAAACCGCUUUCGCCUGUGACGAAGCGUGAGUGACGGUAAUGGGUAAAGAAGCACCGGCUAACUACGUG
rnacentral:rRNA from 1 species